UACGUAGGGGGCAAGCGUUGUCCGGAAUUAUUGGGCGUAAAGGGCGCGUAGGCGGCAUGGCAAGUGGAAGGUGGAAUCCCUCGGCUUAACCGAGGAACUGCCCUCCAAACUGCUUUGCUUGAGGCCGGGAGAGGUGAGUGGAAUUCCCAGUGUAGCGGUGAAAUGCGUAGAUAUUGGGAGGAACACCAGUGGCGAAGGCGGCUCACUGGACCGGUUCUGACGCUGAAGCGCGAAAGCGUGGGGAGCAAACGGG
rnacentral:rRNA from 1 species